rnacentral:misc_RNA from 1 species
CCGAGUUAGGGUUCUCUGAAAACGAAGCCCGACCUCCCAACCCUGUGUUUAUACCGACCACUGUUGCUUCGGCGGACCGCCUCUCCUCCCUGGUUACCAGGAGGGUUGUGGGCGCCGGGGGCGAUCUCUCGCCCCUGGAGCGCGUCCGUCGACGGCCAUCAAACAAACUCUUUUUAGAAACCACCUUCUGAAAACCUUUUAGUUAUUGAAUUAACAAAAAC